CGAACGGUUGAGUAACACGUGGGCAACCUGCCCUCCUCUUGGGGAUAGCCUCGGGAAACCGAGGAUAAUACCCGAUACUUCACUUGAGCCGCAUGACUCAAGUGAGAAAGCUUUUGCGGAGAAGGAUGGGCCCGCGGCCUGUUAGCUUGUUGGUGGGGUAGAGGCCUACCAAGGCAAUGAUGGGUAGCUGGGUUGAGAGACCGACCAGCCAGAUUGGGACUGAGACACGGCCCAG
rnacentral:rRNA from 1 species